GUGGUUAAGUACUUAAUCUUUGAUUAUGUCAAAGUCUCCCCAUUCGCGGGUGUCCACGGCAUAAUUGGGCUUAAGCCACUUAGUCAUGAAGGCAAGUGUAUGCGCAACAAGGAAUCUCUAAUCCUCGAUAAGAGAGGAAGAAUACUUUAAGAUAUGAUUCGGGAAUCUUCGGCCGAAGUAUCGAGCGUAAUAAAGGAAAGCG
rnacentral:lncRNA from 1 species